AGCAGCCGCGGUAAUUCCAGCUCCAAUAGCGUAUAUUAAAGUUGCUGCAGUUAAAAAGCUCGUAGUUGAAUUUCGGGACCGAUAUAUCGGUCGUGCCUCGGUACGUACUGGUAUUUUCGGUUUCUACCUUCUGACGAACCUUGAUGUCAUUAAUUUGGUGUCUUGGGAAAUCAGGACUGUUACUUUGAAAAAAUUAGAGUGUUUAAAGCAGGCUCACGCUUGAAUACAUUAGCAUGGAAUAAUGAAAUAGGACGUUUGAUUCUAUUUUGUUGGUUUCUAGGAUCGACGUAAUGAUUAAUAGGGAUAGUUGGGGGCAUUAGUAUUCAAUUGUCAGAGGUGAAAUUCUUGGAUUUAUUGAAGACUAACUACUGCGAAAGCAUUUGCCAAGGAUGUUUUCAUUAAUCAAGAACGAAAGUUAGGGGAUCGAAGACGAUCAGAUACCGUCGUAGUCUUAACCAUAAACUAUGCCGACUAGGGAUCGGAUGAUGUUAAUUUUUUAAUGACUCAUUCGGCGCCUUAC
rnacentral:rRNA from 1 species